AAUUAACCUCUUACUGUUAUUAAUCUUAGCUAUAUUUCUAUUUGUAUCUUACUUUUAAUUUAUAUGAGUUAAGCAAGAUUUUAAAGAAUAUAAAGGUGAAGCUUCUAUGUAAUCAUGGAAGUAUUGAAGAUGAAGGUUGAACCUUUUUCUGAUGAGAAGCAGGAUGAUUUAUUGAAUAUCAAAUUGAUGAAAAAGGAAGAUGAAACUUUCACAAUAACUAAUAAACAUAUCUGAUCAAGUGAAAAUGGAACACCUUGGUGAUCUGCUACAAGAUGAUGUUAUUUCAAAGUUCAGUUACAGUGAUGAUGAGGAUCAGAAUAGUUCACACUAUAAUGUUAUGAAUGUGAAAACAGAAACUGAAUCUGAGUUAGAAAGAACAUCUGGUAAGUAUAUACAUCACUUAAAACUUAAGUUCAUUGACACUGGCUCAACUUUUAUGACACAGACAUGGAUGUGAAAGUGACCUUCUAGCCCUAAAGUGAACAUAAGAGUUUCUAUUCUGUAACUUUUGAUAUGUUUAGUAUCUUUAUGAAAUUCAGUAAACAUUACUAGCCUUUUGUGCACAAAAAAUCAGAUAUUUUAAUUAAG